GUGGGGAAUAUUGCGCAAUGGGCGAAAGCCUGACGCAGCGACGCCGCGUGAGGGAUGAAGGUCUUCGGAUUGUAAACCUCUUUCAGCAGGGACGAAGCGAAAGUGACGGUACCUGAAGAAGAAGCACCGGCUAACUACGUGCCAGCAGCCGCGGUAAUACGUAGGGUGCAAGCGUUGUCCGGAUUUAUUGGGCGUAAAGAGCUCGUAGGCGGUUAGACACGUCGGAUGUGAAAACUGGGGGCUUAACUCCCAGCCUGCAUUCGAUACGGUCUGACUAGAGUGUGGUAGGGGUAACUGGAAUUCCUGGUGUAGCGGUGAAAUGCGCAGAUAUCAGGAGGAACACCGAUGGCGAAGGCAGGUUACUGGGCCACCACUGACGCUGAGGAGCGAAAGCGUGGGGAGCAAACAGGAUUAGAUACCCUUGUAGUCC
rnacentral:rRNA from 1 species